rnacentral:lncRNA from 1 species
CCAUUAGCAUUCCCUUAGGACCUAAAACAAAGCCCAAGAGGUAAUUGAGGCGUUGGAACAAGUUUGAAGGUCGAAUUGGAAACACCCAAUUCUAGGGUUCUUCACGGUUUUGGUGAAAUGGAAGCACUUCCAGGCCAAAUUGGCCUUGGCCUCAGGUAUGAAAGUUGUUCUACUCAUUGAGAUCUUCAAAUCUGCAAAUUUUAGUAAUUUUUGGAAAUAGUUGAAUUUUCCGGCGAGCCGGGGCGGCCAACCGCCACCCGCGGCGGUGCGUGGCCAAUGGCCCGCCAAUGUCAUUAUUAGCUUGUGAUUAAGGUUCUAGGUUCUGUUUUGAUAAUUGAUGGACGUAAAUUGAAUAAUUGAACCUAAGUUGGUUACGAUUCGUGGUUAGGUGAAAAUGUGAAUUGACGAUCCGACCGUUGGAUCGUCACCAAACUUUGAUACGUUGUAAUACGUAAUAUUUGAGGAUUAUAGGAACUUACGGAUUGAGAAUCCGAUUUACGGAUCUUCCGGAAUUGAAGUUGUAAGUUCAUAAAAUAGAAUGUUAACCGUCACUUAGUUUUGGAAAUUGACGGAGAUCCGACCGUUGGAUGGUAAUGAAAUUUUAAGAUGUUGUCCUAGAGGUAUAUUGUGGACCUCUGGAAGUUACGGAUUUGAAAUCUGAGUUGCAGAUCAUCCGGAUCGAAUUACGUAGUGACGUGUCUUAUAUAAGUUAUGUAUUCUAUCGGCAGGAUUUCUGAGGUUGGGUUUGAUUAUUGUUCUAGGCGCUAAUCUUCAUGAUGCCUUGAUGUGUGGUGCUAGGGAGUUGUUGGGCGAACUCCAGGUGAGUGGGCAGUUUUGUUUUUGUACUACCUUUAUACUAUUGAUUUUUCCCAGAAAAUGAAUUUAUAUGAAAAUAUGUUUUAAAAAUGCCAUGCAUAGAAUUAUUUGAAAAAUGUGAAUUGCGUAUGAGUUAUAUGAUUGAUAUAUGAUGCAUACAUGUUGCAUGGUGCGGUGGAGGCACAGGUAAGUCAGGUGAGUUCAUUAUUCAUUUAAUUGAUUGUUGAUAAGAUGUUUAAGCUCAUACCUGCACCUUAGGUGUUAGUGCUUAUUUUAUUCACCACACCGCACGCUCGCCUUGGAUCCAAGUAGGUGGAUGUUGUACAGACCAUGUGAGGGUUCCGACAUGCUAGUCGUAUAGAUCACUAGGCGUGAUUCCGACUAGUGGGUAACCUUAGUUAUGCGUGCUGAUGAUAUGAUGAGAGAAGCACUAGAGCGUAUUUUUACACCUUUCAUCGUAUAGACUACCUUACGUAGUUCCGAGUGAUGUGCAGAGUAGGGCCGUAUAGGUCACUGUGGUGACUCCGGCUUAGUGAGAUAUUGAGCUAUUGAAUUAAUCGUAUAGGACCAACUGCAGGGUCUCCGAUUGAUUCCUUAUUUCACCUGAUUUAUAUUUUGAUUUAUGGCAUGACAUGUUUUUCUUGAAAAAUGUUAAAGAUUUGGAAUUCAAGUUUUGAGAUUUCAUAUGGUUUUAUAUAUAUAUAUAUAUAUAUAUAUAUAUAUAUAUAUAUUUUUGUGAAAAGUGUUAAAGGUUUGAGAUUUGAGAUUUUUGCUUAUAUAUAUGUUUAUAUAUAUGCUAUUUUCUGGGAAAGUAUACAGGUUUUACGGUGAGGGGUUAGAAAUGUUUUAAAUGAAAAGUUUUCGAAAAACUUUGUUUUACUGACCCACUCAAUUUUGUUUUGCGCCCCUCCAGGUUCAAGUUAGUUAGCAGAGCUUUGGUGGCCACGAGGAAUCCAACGGUGUUCUGACAGAAUUCACAAAAGUAGGACUCACCCUCGGGUGUGUUAUCUUAGUAAUUGGAAAGUUUUUUAAAGCUUCCGAACUGUGUAAAUGGUUACGUCACUCUCACGUGACGGCCAGCACGCCCUCCUUCGGGACGGGGUGUGUCAGUUGGUAUCAGAGCCUAGGUUGCAAUUCUGGACAUCUUGAGAAUUUCCUAGUGUUUUCUGUCAGAACUAUACCGCCUCGUAGCGAGCCACGUAGUUCGGAUGAGCCUAAAUUCCCUGAUAUAGUAGUUUGGGGGGGAACUAUUGCCAUUGUGAUUCAGUCUAUUAUCUAAAGGAACCUUGAGACUGGUUAUAAGUUAAAUUUGAAUACAGACUUGCCUUGUUUCCAUUUGGAUGUUGUUACUAAUCCGGUCGAGGUGUUAUGUCGUUUUUGGCUGGAUAAUAAGAAGAAGUGACGUUCUUUGGCGACCACAAUCCAUUGUACUUUUUACCAAGAGUUUACGAGAUGUUGUUGGGCUUUAAAGACUUUGAGAAUAUGAUCAGCGAGAGUAAAGAGGAAUAAGAAAGGAAUAAGAAUCAGAAUAAGACGAUAAAGUUAAAGAUUCGUCAUAUCAAAAACCUCGGAGGACUCAAAGCUUCAAAGGAAAUGAAAUUAGAGCUAAUUUUCCCAGCUUAGGUUUUACUGCCACUGGUCAGAGGCGAAGUGAUAGAUUUACUAGUGAUCCCAGAUUUCUGAGACAAGAUGACUCUGGUAGAGGAAAUGUAUAUUUGUGCCAUAGGUAUAAUAUUAGACACUUUGGAGAGUGUGGGAAUCAGUGAAUGUGUUCAUGUGGACGGAUGGGACAUAGAGGUAUGAAUUGUCCCUGAGAUCAGUUGUUACCCAACAGUCUUCCUUAACAUAUCACUUGGAAAAUUGACGGGUAAGUCGUACAGGUCACUAUAUGUGACUUCGACUUAUGAGCUAGCAUGGAUAGUCAAGUUGUAGACUCAGUCGCACAGGUCAUUCUAGCUGACUCCAACUGAUAUAUUUCUUAUUAUGGAUGAUGUUGCCAAAGAAAGUAAUGUUGGAGCACGAUCGAGGCGUAUUUAUGUAUUUCUAAGGAAGAACAAGAUAAUAUUACACAUUCAGGAAUUGUUACUUACUUAUCGAGACAACAUUGGGUUAUUUGUAUUGCGGGCUGCAUACCGUAAUAUUUAUAACUUAUUUGUUGGAUUCGUUAAGCAAGUAAACACGUAGGUCAUCCUACGUUAGUAUGGUGCUAUUUAGGGUGUCCGGUGAUGGUGAAAAAUGUCAUGUCGGUGAAUUUUAUUCCGUUGGAUAUUGUGGAUUUUGAGGUGAUUUUUGGCACAAAGUGGGUGCAGAAUAAAUGUGCCAAGCUAGAUUGCUAUGGCGAAUCAGUUAAUUUUUGUCGACCUGGAUGACCAUAGGUUACUUUUGGGGGUAAGUAAAGUGGAGUGAGUCAUGCCAUUAUUCAUGUUGAGAGAGCAAAGAAGAUUGUUAUCAAAAGGCUGCCAAGAUAUUUAGUUCAUAUGGUGCUAAAUGAUGUUGAUCCUAAUAGUAUGGAAGAUGUAAAGAUGGUUAGACAUUUUCCUGGUGUAUUUCCAAAUGACUUACCUAGAUUACCGCCAGGCAGAGAUGUGGGUUCCAUUAUUGAAUUGUUUUUAGGUACAAAUCCUAUGUUAGAGAUUGGUUCAGGUUGAGUUAAAAGUUCCAUUCAACUUAUUAUAUCACAUUGGAAAAGCUUCGGUUUAUUUGUGAGGAAGAAAGUGGACAUUAAGGCUAGGCAUUGAUAUUAGGUAAUUGAAUCGGGUAACGAUUGAGAGCUGUUAUCCAUUGUUGUGUAUUGAUGAUUAUUUGAUCAGCUCUGAGGCGCCUGGGUACUUUCUGAGAUUGACUAGAGGUCUGAAUGAUAUUAGUUGAAGAUUAACAGUGAGGAUGUUCAUAAGACUGAAUCCAGGACUCGUUAUGGUCAUUUCAAGUUAGGAUGCCAUACGGAGUGACGAAUGCACCUGCUACUUUUAUGAGUUUGCUGAAGGAAGUAUUCCAGUGAUAUCUGGACCGGGUUGUUAUUGUUUGCCAUUGACGAGAUUGAUAAGAUUAGAGCAGUGCAUGCUAGAUAUUUAAAGUUGGUGUUGCAAAGAUUGAGGGAACGUUGAUGUAUGCUAAGUUUAGCAAAUGCUAAUGUUGGAUAAAUUAAUUAUAUCUACUUAAGGUAUUCAAAUGGAUUCUUAAAAGAGUAGCAACGAUUGAGAAUUUGGAACAAUUGCGAACUGUGACUGAGGUUCAGAGUUUUCUCGGAUUAGCAGGAUAUUGUCGAUAGUUCGUCCAAGAUUUUAAUUAUUGCUUCGCCCUUGGCGAGAUUGAUGAGAAAAGAGGUUAAGUUUGAGUGGGAUGAAAAAUUAUAAGUAGAGCUUCAGCAAGUAAAGUAUUCCCUCACUCAUGCAUCUGUUUUCACACUCCCAGACGAUAGUGGUAAUUAUGUGGUCUAUAGUAAUACUUCUUUGAAUGUUCUUGAAUGCGCGUUGAUGCAGCAUGGUAGGAUGAUUGCCUAUGCUUCAUGGCCAUUGGGAUCUCAUAAGAUGAAUUACCCUACGUGUGAUUUGGAAUUGGCGGCUAUCAUUCUUACUUUGAAGUUAUGGAGACAUUAUAUUAUUGGUGAGAAAUGCAAGAUUUUAAUGAAUCAUAAGAGUCUCCAAUAUAUGUUUACGCUGAGAGAUAUUAAUCUUAGGCAACAAAGGUGGAUUGAGUUGCUUAGUGAUUAUGAUUGUGCGACUAGGGUGGUCGAGCUAAUAUUGUGGCUGAUGCAUUUAGUAGGAAGACCCCAGUGAGAAUUAAUGCUUGGUACGCUUGCUAUGUUCGUCUUCUUGUGGAUUUGAAAUCUACUGGAGUAAAGUUGGGUAUCGAAAAAUCGAGAAGAAGCCUUAUUUGCUAAUUUCCAAGUUGGACCCAUUUGGUAGAUCGUACUCGAGACUCAAGCGUUUGACGAAGAAAUUCAAGAAUUUAUUUAAAGCAAGGAAUAACGGGAAAAAGAAAGACCUUAGAGUUAGAGAAUCAGAUGACAAGCUUAUGCAAGGGAACAAAGUGUUUAUGCCUAAUGGUGUGGAAUUAAAGAAAGCAAUUUUGACGAUGUACAUUAUUCCACUUCUACAAUGCAUCCCGAAAGUACUAAGAUUUAUCAUACCAUUCGUUCAUGUACUAUUGACGGGUAUGAAAAGAGGAAUGGCGAAGUAUGUUAGUAGGCGUAUCAUCAGUCAUCAGGUUAAAGCAGAAAGAAAUAAGUCUUUUGGAAUAAUGUAGUCAUUUCCCACUCCACGGCGGAAAUGGGAGAAUAUUACUAUGGAUUUCGUGGACAAGCUUCCUCGUAUACAAAAUAGUUAGGUUGGAAUUUGAAUAAUAAUUGAUCGACUUGUGACGUCAGCGUAUGUUACUUCAGUAUGAGAACAUCAACCUUUCCAGAUAAGCGCAACAGUUAUUUAUUUGUUUUAUGGAAAAAGGAGAUUGGGAUCUGUUAAACUUCUUGGGUAUGUUGGUCCCUUCAGUUUGUUCCCUAGAGUAACGCCAUAAGGCCGUGGAAAGCUAUGUCUUGUGUUUCGAAAUUGUUAGAAUUGGGGACGGAUGAUAUUCAAGACUCUGAGUUUGGUGAAAAUUUAUGGAGGAAUCUUUCAGUGGAAGAAACUACUUGAAAGUCAGAGAAUCGAAUGAGAGAGUUGUGUUUCGGGCUGUUUUAUGGAUAUUGCUGGAUUGUAAAGAUUGUGUAAAUUUCGGGGACGAAAUUUCUUUAAGGUGGGUAGAUUGUGACAGCCCGUCCCUAAUUUUAAGAAUUUUUAAAGUUUUCAUAAAGGAUUUUACAAAAAUGCCCUUUGAAGGUACGUGCAUUAUUCGAGGUUAAUCACCAUGUCGUGCCAUCUAAGAUUUGUUUUCUUGACAUAUCCCCGUAGUACUCGUCGUUACGGACGCGUGGGCGCAGACGGUUCGUGAUUUGGAGUUAUAUCGAAGAAGUUAUUAAAGUUUGAAGUUGGGAUUUUAAGGAAUUAUAAUUUUAGUAAAAUAUAGAAAUUCUUUUAUGAAAAUGGACGGCCCAGAUUUAAUGAUGAAUGAAAUGGAUGGUUGGGAUGAGAGAAAGUUUUGUGUGUGUGUGUGUGCGUGAGAAGAAAACAGAAAAGAAGAGGGAUUGGGCAAAGCUGCCCAAUCGGAGAAGAAGGAGGAGAGACCGAAUGGGGAGAAGAGAGAGGGAGAAGUUGACCAACUAGAGGAAGGAAAGGAGGAAAGGAGAGAGGGCGAGAAGCGGAGGAGAGAAGGAAGAAAUGGGUUUUCCCCAACCCGUAUACCCGCGCGACCCGCGACUUCCAAUCGGCGGGUUUUCGCCAUUUUCGUCCAAUUUUCCGACGAAUUGAAUCAAGGUACCACUCCUAAUUAUCAUCUAGGCCUUCCCUCUUCACGUUUCACCCCAAGAAUCAUUGAAUUUCGUUGUGAUUUCGCGAAGAACACCCCUACGGGUGCCGCGACCCUUUUGUUUAAAUUCUCCAAAUUUUGAAAUGUUUUCUUUCAAUUACUAACACCAUUAGCAUUCCCUUAGGACCUAAAACAAAGCCCAAGAGGUAAUUGAGGCGUUGGAACAAGUUUGAAGGUCGAAUUGGAAACACCCAAUUCUAGGGUUCUUCACGGUUUUGGUGAAAUGGAAGCACUUCCAGGCCAAAUUGGCCUUGGCCUCAGGUAUGAAAGUUGUUCUACUCAUUGAGAUCUUCAAAUCUGCAAAUUUUAGUAAUUUUUGGAAAUAGUUGAAUUUUCCGGCGAGCCGGGGCGGCCAACCGCCACCCGCGGCGGUGCGUGGCCAAUGGCCCGCCAAUGUCAUUAUUAGCUUGUGAUUAAGGUUCUAGGUUCUGUUUUGAUAAUUGAUGGACGUAAAUUGAAUAAUUGAACCUAAGUUGGUUACGAUUCGUGGUUAGGUGAAAAUGUGAAUUGACGAUCCGACCGUUGGAUCGUCACCAAACUUUGAUACGUUGUAAUACGUAAUAUUUGAGGAUUAUAGGAACUUACGGAUUGAGAAUCCGAUUUACGGAUCUUCCGGAAUUGAAGUUGUAAGUUCAUAAAAUAGAAUGUUAACCGUCACUUAGUUUUGGAAAUUGACGGAGAUCCGACCGUUGGAUGGUAAUGAAAUUUUAAGAUGUUGUCCUAGAGGUAUAUUGUGGACCUCUGGAAGUUACGGAUUUGAAAUCUGAGUUGCAGAUCAUCCGGAUCGAAUUACGUAGUGACGUGUCUUAUAUAAGUUAUGUAUUCUAUCGGCAGGAUUUCUGAGGUUGGGUUUGAUUAUUGUUCUAGGCGCUAAUCUUCAUGAUGCCUUGAUGUGUGGUGCUAGGGAGUUGUUGGGCGAACUCCAGGUGAGUGGGCAGUUUUGUUUUUGUACUACCUUUAUACUAUUGAUUUUUCCCAGAAAAUGAAUUUAUAUGAAAAUAUGUUUUAAAAAUGCCAUGCAUAGAAUUAUUUGAAAAAUGUGAAUUGCGUAUGAGUUAUAUGAUUGAUAUAUGAUGCAUACAUGUUGCAUGGUGCGGUGGAGGCACAGGUAAGUCAGGUGAGUUCAUUAUUCAUUUAAUUGAUUGUUGAUAAUGUUUUAAGCUCAUACCUGCACCUUAGGUGUUAGUGCUUAUUUUAUUCACCACACCGCACGCUCGCCUUGGAUCCAAGUAGGUGGAUGUCGUACAGACCAUGUGAGGGUUCCGACAUGCUAGUCGUAUAGAUCACUAGGCGUGAUUCCGACUAGUGGGUGACCUUAGUUAUGCGCGCUGAUGAUAUGAUGAGAGAAGCACUAGAGCGUAUUUUUACACCUUUCAUCGUAUAGACUACCUUACGUAGUUCCGAGUGAUGUGCAGAGUAGGGCCGUAUAGGUCACUGUGGUGACUCCGGCUUAGUGAGAUAUUGAGCUAUUGAAUUAAUCGUAUAGGACCAACUGCAGGGUCUCCGAUUGAUUCCUUAUUUCACCUGAUUUAUAUUUUGAUUUAUGGCAUGACAUGUUUUUCUUGAAAAAUGUUAAAGAUUUGGAAUUCAAGUUUUGAGAUUUCAUAUGGUUUUAUAUAUAUAUAUAUAUAUAUAUAUAUAUAUAUAUAUAUAUAUUUUUCUGAAAAGUGUUAAAGGUUUGAGAUUUGAGAUUUUUGCUUAUAUAUAUGUUUAUAUAUAUGCUAUUUUCUGGGAAAGUAUACAGGUUUUACGGUGAGGGGUU